GAUGAACGCUGGCGGCGUGCUUAACACAUGCAAGUCGAACGGUGAAGCAGAGCUUGCUCUGUGGAUCAGUGGCGAACGGGUGAGUAACACGUGAGCAACCUGCCCCUGACUCUGGGAUAAGCGCUGGAAACGGCGUCUAAUACUGGAUAUGAGCUGCGACCGCAUGAUCAGCAGUUGGAAAGAUUUUUCGGUCUGGGAUGGGCUCACGGCCUAUCAGCUUGUUGGUGAGGUAAUGGCUCACCAAGGCGUCGACGGGUAGCCGGCCUGAGAGGGUGACCGGCCACACUGGGACUGAGACACGGCCCAGACUCCUACGGGAGGCAGCAGUGGGGAAUAUUGCACAAUGGGCGAAAGCCUGAUGCAGCAACGCCGCGUGAGGGAUGACGGCCUUCGGGUUGUAAACCUCUUUUAGCAGGGAAGAAGCGAAAGUGACGGUACCUGCAGAAAAAGCGCCGGCUAACUACGUG
rnacentral:rRNA from 1 species